CGUCUCUCUGGAGAUUCUAUUCAGAAAUUUCAUCUUAGUGUUGGCAACCAGUGGCAGAUUUCUUCUAUUCCAUCAAUCGGUUUAUCAGGAGGAAUCAUCAUCCUCUGGCACCGUAAUUUUGACCAUGUUCAGUUUGACAGUUCUAUUCGGCAGCUGGCUGUGGGAGUGGUGUCUGCCCCUAGAGUGCAACCAUGGCUUCUUGGGGUGGUUUACGCCAGCAC
rnacentral:lncRNA from 1 species